CAAACUUCACACUCAUGACUUCUUGCAUCAGUGUGUGUAACAAGGUGUAAUUUGAGGUUACUCUUCCGACUGAAACAUUUCCCACAAACUUCACACUCAUGCUUUCUUUCACCAGUGUGUGUAAGAGUGUGUAAUUUGAGGGUACCCUUCUGACUGAAACAUUUUCCACAAACUUCACACUCAUGAUUUCUUUCACCAGUGUGUGUAAGAGUGUGUAAUUUGAGGGUAUCCUUCCGAAUGAAACAUUUUCCACAAACUUCACACUCAUGAUUUCUUUCACCAGUGUGUGUAAGAGUGUGUAAUUUGAGGGUAUCCUUCCGAAUGAAACAUUUUCCACAAACUUCACACUCAUGAUUUCUUU